rnacentral:rRNA from 1 species
AGAGUUUGAUCCUGGCUCAGAAUGAACGUUGGCGGCGUGGAUUAGGCAUGCAAGUCGAGCGGUAGGGAACUGCUCACUUCAAGCUGUUAGCUAAUAGCUGUUAGCCGAGAGCUUUGAGGUGAGCAGUUCCUGAGAGCGGCGAAAGGGAGAGUAAUACGUAGUUACGUGCCCCGAGGUCCGGAAUAGCCACGGGAAACUGUGGGUAAUGCCGGAUGUUGUCUUCGGACUAAAGGUGUGAUUCCGCCUUGGGAGCGGACUGCGUUGUACUAGCUAGUUGGUAGGGUAAUGGCCUACCAAGGCGAUGAUGCAUAGCGGGCGUGAGAGCGUGGCCCGCCUCACUGGGACUGAGACACUGCCCAGACACCUACGGGUGGCUGCAGUCGAGAAUCUUCGGCAAUGGGCGAAAGCCUGACCGAGCGACGCCGCGUGCGGGAUGAAGGCCUUCGGGUUGUAAACCGCUGUCGUAGGGGAGGAAAUUGAUCGGGGUUCUCCCCGGUUAUUGACCUAUCCUAGGAGGAAGGACGGGCUAAGUUCGUGCCAGCAGCCGCGGUAAUACGAACCGUCCAAACGUUAUUCGGAAUCAUUGGGCUUAAAGGGUACGUAGGCGGCGCUGUCAGUCGGGUGUGAAAGCCCUCGGCUCAACCGAGGAAUUGCGCCCGAUACUGCAGUGCUUGAGGGAGACAGAGGUAAGCGGAACUGAUGGUGGAGCGGUGAAAUGCGUUGAUAUCAUCAGGAACACCGGUGGCGAAAGCGGCUUACUGGGUCUCUUCUGACGCUGAGGUACGAAAGCUAGGGGAGCGAAGGGGAUUAGAUACCCCCGUAGUCCUAGCUGUAAACGUUGAGCACUUGACCGUGGACCCCCCCAUAGGUUCUCGGUCGUAGCGAAAGUGUUAAGUGCUCCGCCUGGGGAGUAUGGUCGCA